UCUCCUUCCCAGCCCCCUUCAGAUCCACGCGCCUCUGCCUCUCGACCGAAGCCUACUCAGAUCUGCUGCAGGAGGCGAGAGGCCAGUGAGCGGCGGCCGAGCGCUAGCCGCUAGGCGGGCCCCGGCCCGCGCGCGCCGCGCCAGGGAUACGCGUUGGGCGGUGGCUCCCCCUCCGCGACCGGCGGCCGCAGCUCGGCGCCAGCUCGCGGCUCCACCUCCACGAGGCGCCAACGGAUGGGCAGGCAGCGGCCUGCCGGCGCAGCUCGGCCCCGGCGUGCGGCUCCGCCUCUGCGAGGCGUAGGCAGAAGGGUAAGCAGCAGCUGCCGGCGCAUCUAAUUAGACGCUGUUGCCGCUGCCGGCGGCGGCAUCCACAUCCAGCACGCCCGCAACGCUCCGUCACCAUGGCUGGCGUGCACAUCACGCACGUCCGCGAAUACAUUGUAUAUUGCUGAAGAGGAUGUCAAUCACUUCCAUUCUGAUGGGUAUGCUCUUUUUGAAACAGGAGUAGACCAGGAACUUUGCAUUUACAAAAUAAAACAGGGAGAAGUCAAGGAUAGCUUUAUCGAUCAGACAAUUGGAGGAAGAUCCUUUAUUGGAGACAUUGGACAAAGUUAUUCCUUUGGUUAGUAGAAACAAAGGGUGCUGCUGAUGAUAACUUCUUUGCAAGCGUUCAGUCUAUUGCAGUGUGCAUCUGGUGAUUUAAAAGGUUAAAGAAUUGGCAGUUAGAAUAGAAGAGAAGCCUCACAGAGAAGAAAUCAUUGCUAGCCAAAUGUGCUGCCACAACACUCAUCAAAACUGAUGUGACAUAUAAUCAUAAAGAUUUUGGCAAACUUCGCUCCAAAAGAGCAGUUAUUAACCUCCUGGAUGAGUUAUGGAGGUUGGAGCAAAAUGAAAAGAAAUCGGAUGAUCAGCAUGAGAAAAGUUGUGGUGAAAAUCAGUCAGCCGAAGAAAAUAGUGCUGCAAUUGCUGGUCAAUCUGCUGAAGGAAAAGAUGCUGCAGGUAUGAAUCAAUCCGCUGAAGGAAAGAGUGCUGUAGGUGCUAGUUAUUCAGCCAAAGGAAAGAGUGCUACCUACUAGACUUUUCAAAAUCAUGUUUCCGCAUGAUCUGAGGGAAAGAGCCUUGCUAGACUGGUAAAAAAACUCACAAUCAAGUUGCACAGAUUGUGAUCUGGAGUAGUAUUUGUUGCGACAAAUGUCAAAUAAGUUUCCUUUCAGAGCAUGGGAUCGUCAAUAAUUAAACUCUGUUACAACUGUUAUGUGCUCUCUGCCGAGGUAGCUUUGAGAAUAAGUAUGAUUUAUUAUGCUGUGUGUAUGGUAUAUAAAUAUACCAGUAUCAAUGUUAUUGUUCGUAAUGCGCCAUGGCAACUUUUUGAAUGGUGAGAUCAAAGAAAAGGUUGCUUAUAUCUGAACUUA